ensembl:lncRNA
CACAAAUGUAAGCCUCCUGAAACAUAAGGAGCCAGAUAUGCUGGUUGUAUGAGAUUGAAUGAAACUCUUUCAUAGGAGAUGCUCCUUUUUGAAAAUAUUUACUGCAUGCUGAGAUGUAAAGCUGGGAGAAGAGAAAUGUACCUGUGCAAUGCAACCUGCAUGGGAAAUAGAGAAGUCCUCUCUUUACAGUUCCACAUAGCUUUAAGAAUGAGUGGGAUCUCUAAGGUCUGAUAAAAGUCUUGUGAAAUACAGAAUAAGAGCAUACAGUAUUUCAGCCACUGGUGGUCUGAAGCUCAUCCAGUAAAACACAAACAAAAACAAUAACAACAAAAAUGAUAAUAAUAAUAAUAAUAAUAAUAAUAAUAAAAAAAACCACCUCCAUUGAUCCACUUUGACUAGGUCUGUAACAGAGUGCAAGUUUGCCUGUGGAAGAACAUGGCUUGCUUCUUACAGCACGUACUUGAGAAUAAAUAAAUCCAAAAUGCCGUUGCAGAAUUAGCAGAAAUUUAUCUAUUCUGUGAGAUAAGAUGGAAUCACGCAGAAUACAAGAAAACUUGAACAUGGACAGAGGAGGAUGGUGACUGGUUAUCUUCUAUGUUGAGUGCAGGUCAUUCAGGAAUGGAGUCAUACCAAGAAAAUGCUGCCUUGUGGGGAUUCUUUAACCAAUUUCAGGCUCUGUGUAGUGGAAAACCUCAGGAGGGGAACCCAAGACUGCACUGUCAGUCCAAUCAUCAGAUAACAUUUGUUUUACUGCCUGAUUUGAAAACAUUCUCAUUUUGGAUGUCUCGAUUCAAUUGCAUUCAUAGGAAAAACUUCCCUUGCUCACCGUGUGGAUCCUCGGACUCUGUGUCUCUGUGGGCAUAAAAAGUCCAGGAUUUCUAGUCCUUUGGGGAAGUGGAAGCCUCAAUGCCUUCAGAAAGGUGACCUCACAUGGCAUUUCUCCACUGUCAGUCUUGAGCAUCUGUGGCAGAAUCACCAAGUGAAUCCAAAUCAUCAAACUUCCUCACAAUUAAAAGGUAAUUGGUGGCAUCCCGGCCUUUCAGGCACCAGACUGUUAAACACCUCAUAAAACAUUCAGAAGACUUGCAGAACCCAAAGAGGAAAAUGAGGAGGGAGGUAUUUUUUCCACCUGAUGGACAUGGUAUGUAAUUACCUUAGGCAUAUCCUGAUUCUCUCUCUCUCUCUAUUGCUCAUCGCUGCUAUGUCUAAGAAUUACUUGAUAUUCAAAGAGUGCCCUAACCAAGUCAGGUUUUCAUAACAUGAUUACAUUAUGAAACAUUUUGCUCCUGUAUAUUACAGUGUGCACACAUACACUUUCAUCAUGUAUUGGACUGCAGUUUGUGCUCUGAUACCAUGCACCACAGGAUGUCUACAAAUUGAAUUAUUUCAGGAUAGUUAUGCUAAGUAGCUCCAUGCAGGGAAACCUGUAUUCUAGCACAAAAGCACCUUGUUCUCCUUUAUCGUAAUCCACGUUUAAAAUGGGUUAUGAUGCAGAACAGGCCACUCCUAUUUUGGAAUAAUUUUAUAUAGGAAGAGCUUUUGUGCUUUUGGCUCACACCCUGCAUUAGCCAAAAGAGCUUUGAAGUGUAGACAAGCCUCUAAUGUGUCUCUAGUAUUUCCAUCCUGCUCCCUGGCUCCUGCCUGUUCUUUGGCUCUUCCUUUGGGAAGGUCCAGAGCAAAACCAAACCUGCAGAGCCUGUCAUUUAGGUCUUUGUUUUUAUAAGCUUCAUACCAAGGGACAUUUCCAAUUUGAUUCCCAAUCUACGUGCAUCCUUAAGUAUUUGAAAGGAGUAUUUAGAUGCAAGCUUCUGACUCUGAGCCAUCCCCACAAAUUAUAUUAGUACAUAAAAUGUUUCCUUUCACACUUUGCUGAAAGAGAAGUCCCUCUGGAAGCCUGCAGUUCCUUUUGGGACCAUUUGGUUAUUUCUCUAUUACGAUUUCUUCUAAAACCA